CAAAACAGAUCUUGUUCCUCUUCCGUCUGUCGUCUUACUCUUAAUUAUAAAUCAUGGAGGAUAAAGAUAAGACAAUUGAACAUGAAGAUUCAGUACCAUCCACAGAGAUGAAUCACAUAGCCUCUGUAUAUCAAGAAACACAGGAGCAGACAGUUAUGAACCUCAAAGGCAUAGAUGGAAAUGAACCAACAGAAGGAAGUAACCUAUUGAAUAGUAGGAAAAAAGGCUGCAGGAAACACCAACUGAAUCAACUCAUUUGCAAAGACUAAGACAGAUAUUUGCUUGCCCUCCACAUGCUUUACUGGAUAGAGUAAUAACAAAUGUUACCAUCUUUGUUCUUCUGUGGGCUGUAGUUUGGUCAAUUGCCGGCAGUGAAUGUCUUCCUGGAGGAAACCUAUUUGGAAUUAUAAUCCUUUUCUAUUGUGCCAUCUUUGGAGGUAAACUUUUGGGACUCAUUAAGUUACCUACAUUGCCUCCACUGCCUCCUCU